rnacentral:ncRNA from 1 species
GAGUGGUGGAUACUUUGACUCAUGAGAGAGAAGCUGAGGCGAAGGCGUCUACCUAGAGGGUUUCUGUCGAUCAAGGGCGAGAGUAGGAGUAUCCAACAGGAUUAGAGACCCUGGUAGUUCCUACCUUAAACGAUGCCGACAGGAGUUUGUCAUUUGUUAAUGGCAGAAUCUUUGGAGAAAUCAUAGUUCUUGGGCUCUGGGGGAACUACGACCGCAAGGCUGAAACUUGAAGGAAUUGACGGAAGGGCACACCAGGGGUGGAGCCUGUGGCUUAAUUUGAAUCAACACGGGGAAACUUACCAGGACCAGAUGUUUUUUAUGACUGACAGGCUUCGGGUCUUUCAGGAUAUUGUUUUUGGUGGUGCAUGGCCGUUGGUGGUGCGUGGGUUGACCUGUCUAGCGUUGAUUCAGCUAACGAGCGAGAUUAUCGCCAAUUAUUUACUUUGCCGAAGUCCUUCGGUUAAAGUUCUAAUUGGGACUCCCUGCGAUUUUAGCAGGUGGAAGAGGGUAGCAAUAACAGGUCCGUGAUGCCCUUUAGAUGCUCUGGGCUGCACGCGUGCUACAAUGUUAGGAUCAAUAGGACUGCGAGCCUGAGAGGGUGCGCUACUCUUAUAAUCCCUAACGUAGUUGGGAUUGACGUUUGUAAUCAGCGUCAUGAACCAGGAAUCCCUUGUAAAUGUGUGUCAACAACGCACGUUGAAUACGUCCCUGCCCUUUGUACACACCGCCCGUCGCUCCUACCGAUUGGAUGACUCGGUGAAAUCACCGGAUGCUUACGAGCAGAAAGUGAUUAAAUCACGUUAUCUAGAGGAAGGAGAAGUCGUAACAAGGUAACGGUAGGUGAACCUGCCGUUGGAUCAGUU